UCAAGAAAAGAGGACCUUUCCCCUAUCCCCGGCUCCCAGAACCGGAGUUUUAAAUAAACUAUUUCUUGACA
rnacentral:tRNA from 1 species